UGGCAAGCCUAUAGCAUGCCUGGGUCUGGAGUGACCCUGUGCUUCCUUCAGUGCUUGCAAGAACAGUGUUGAAAUAGUUGGAGGCCUUGCUAUGGGCCAUCUCCAGAGCGAGGUUAUGGACAUUUCAGACAGAG
ensembl:snoRNA